AUUGAACGCUGGCGGAAUGCUUUACACAUGCAAGUCGAGCGGCAGCACGGGGGCAACCCUGGUGGCGAGCGGCGAACGGGUGAGUAAUACAUCGGAACAUGCCCCGCCGUGGGGGAUAACACCUCGAAAGAAGUGCUAAUACCGCAUACGUCCAGAGGGAGCAAGCGGGGGAUCGCAAGACCUCGCGCGAUUGGAGUGGCCGAUGUCAGAUUAGCUAGUUGGUGGGGUAAAGGCCUACCAAGGCAACGAUCUGUAGCUGGACUGAGUGGAUGAUCAGCCACACGGGAACUGAGACACGGCCCAGACUCCUGCGGGAGGCAGCAGUGGGGUAUUGGGGGCAACGGGGGCAAAUCUGGUCCAGCCAGCCCGCGUGAGUGACAAAGGCGUUGGGUGUGUGAAGCUCGUCCUGCAGGAACGAAACGGUGAGGUCUAAGACAGCGCGCUAGUGACGGUACCUGAAGAAGAAGCACCGGCUAACUACGUG
rnacentral:rRNA from 1 species